GUGGAUCUUCACGUAGGGAUCUGAGGAAAGAAGAGAGGGCCAGGUUAGAACCUACUGCAUCAGGUGGAUCUUCACGUAGGGAUCUGAGGAAAGAAGAGAGGGCCAGGUUAGAACCUACUGCAUCAGGUGGAUCUUGACGUAGGGAUCUGAGGAAAGAAGAGAGGGCCAGGUUAGAACCUACUGCAUCAGGUGGAUCUUCACGUAGGGAUCUGAGGAAAGAAGAGAGGGCCAGGUUAGAACCUACUGCAUCAGGUGGAUCUUCACGUAGGGAUCUGAGGAAAGAAGAGAGGGCCAGGUUAGAACCUACUGCAUCAGGUGGAUCUUCACGUAGGGAUCUGAGGAAAGAAGAGAGGGCCAGGUUAGAACCUACUGCCACAAGGCAUAUACACCCUCCCUUUCUAGUGUCUCUACACUCAUAUGUUUUAGUCACACCUUGUCUGUCACUUUAUUUGGAUAUAUCAACACGGAGAGGAAUCACACAGUCUGAUAAUAUUCACCGUACUUACAAACCCAUUUCAAAUCAUAUGCAAGAGAAACAGAGUUGCGCACAAUUUCUAUAAAUAGAAUUUCGCUGCUUUUUCAAGUGGUUCAUGUUUUCGCCACUUUCACUGAAGGGCCUCAUUUCCCUUCCCCAAUAAUGAAGACUGAAGCCUCUCCAGAGUGGGCCUGCUGUGGCCGGCCAUGUGGCACCCCUCUCUCUGGUAAUCAGGUCAAAAGGACCAGUAAAAGAUGCAGACUCACCCAUCAGCCUUCCUGCUUUAUCAUUGGCAAUCAAGACGUUGGACUAGCAUGGCUA